UUGACUCAAGUAUCAAGCAAAUAUUGUAAACGGUCAAAGUGCUUGGUUCAAGCAAAAAUCUACGUGCUUGUUGUCAAGCCGCUUGACCACCUCGGAAGCCCUUUAGGCAUGGCAAUAAAAUAUU